UACAGAGGCCCCAAGCGUUAGGCGGAAUCACUGGGCUUAAAGCGUGUGUAGGCGGACUUCUAAGUACCUUGUGAAAUCCCACGGCUUAACCGUGGAACUGCUUGGUAUACUGGUCGUCUUGAGCCACUUAGGGGUUACCGGAACAAAUGGUGGAGCGGUGAAAUGCGUAGAUAUCAUUUGGAACGCCAAUGGUGAAAACAGGUAACUGGGAGUGUGCUGACGCUGAGACACGAAAGCCAGGGGAGCAAACGGGAUUAGAAACCCGAGUAGUCCUGGACGGACCACCGGUGGCGAAAGCGCCUCUGGAAGACGGAUCCGACGGUGAGGGACGAAAGCUCGGGUCACGAACCGG
rnacentral:rRNA from 1 species